rnacentral:pre_miRNA from 1 species
ACAACGUUCGGACCGUCGAUCUAUCGAGAAAUAUCACCGCCUCGGUGGAAGACCUCCCCUCCGUCAU